GUUUGGUAUAAUGGAGGCUGUCCUGUUGGGUCUUUUUUUCCUUCUUUUUCCUUUGCCCAUAGUAUACCUGGUGAUGUCCUGGGAGCCGCCCAGUGUGAGAUCUCUUGCUGAGCAUCACUGAAGCUGUUGCAGCUCUGGUGCCAGCAGAGGUCCUCCAAGCCCUGCCCGCUGCCAGGGUUGCUGCUGCAGGUUUGCUGCUUCCUCCUCAAGCAUUUUUUUAUUAUCUACAGUUCAGUAACAGACGGAAACUGCCUAUGGGCUCUUGCAUCUCAGUGCCCAAAGGUGCCAGGGGAGCAUGGAGUGCCCUCACUGUGAUGAUGAUUAACGUGGCCCCAUGGAUGGAGGGAAGUGUUCUCAAGGCAAGGAUGGGAUGAUGGAAGGAUGUCCUGAUCCUCCCAGGUGAAGACUUCUCCAUGCUAUAGGGGUGCCAAUGCCUGGGACACGCUUGCCCUGUCCCCAUUCUCACAUCCAAAUGAAGUUCAUCCCAACUCGGAGAGCAGAUUGUCCAUUUUUCCACCCUGUGCUUUACAGAGAGCCCUGGCACUGAGGGGUGCCAAGGUGCCCAAACUGCCCCCAAGAAAGGACUUAGUCCCCUGCCACUGGGACCAAGGAAAAGUCCCCAAACACCCAGCAUGGUCGUGCCCCUCCCAUGGGCCACCUCCUAUCCAUAUACAACAAAGCCUGGCAGCGAAUUAAUCUUCAACUGGGCACCGAGGAUUGUUGCUGGAACUUUAUUACAUCGUGUCCUGCCCAGCGCAGCGUUAACCAUUAACCCGGUGGCUCUGAUAUCAGCUCCAGCACCCUGCACUUCAGCUAUCCCUGACAGCAUCUUAUCUGAUCGCACGGCCAUAAAUCUGGGCAUGGAGCUGCCUGAAAGCACCCACGCCUGCAGCAACCCCAGGGAGUUAUCGUGGGGUGAGAAGGAGGAAGAAGGAGCAGGUGAAGGUGGCAACGCCUCGCUUCUCCCACGUCCUUCGAGGGUGUCCUCUGCUCUGCAGUGGGAACGUUAGGAGGGGAUGUCUUCACGGCUGGCACUUCUUGGCCAGGUGCUGUGGAUUGAGUUCGCUUUGUUUUCCAUUCACACCCUUUAUGCGCGCAAUCUGUAACAGCUGCAAUUCUUCCUCCUCCUGACAACUGUCACUG
ensembl:lncRNA